AGUGAACGCUGGCGGUAGGCCUAACACAUGCAAGUCGAACGGCAGCACAGUAAGAGCUUGCUCUUACGGGUGGCGAGUGGCGGACGGGUGAGGAAUACAUCGGAAUCUACUUUUUCGUGGGGGAUAACGUAGGGAAACUUACGCUAAUACCGCAUACGACCUACGGGUGAAAGCAGGGGAUCUUCGGAUCUUGCGCGAUUGAAUGAGCCGAUGUCGGAUUAGCUAGUUGGCGGGGUAAAGGCCCACCAAGGCGACGAUCCGUAGCUGGUCUGAGAGGAUGAUCAGCCACACUGGAACUGAGACACGGUCCAGACUCCUACGGGAGGCAGCAGUGGGGAAUAUUGGACAAUGGGCGCAAGCCUAAUCCAGCCAUACCGCGUGGGUGAAGAAGGCCUUCGGGUUGUAAAGCCCUUUUGUUGGGAAAGAAAAGCAGCAGGUUAAUACCCCGCUGUUCUGACGGUACCCAAAGAAUAAGCACCGGCUAACUUCGUG
rnacentral:rRNA from 1 species